rnacentral:rRNA from 1 species
AGCGCAAUCCAUUGCCCUUUAAUUGUGGGCCAGUAUGAAUGGACCCACGGAAGCAAAGCUGUCUCUGUAGGAUAAAUAAAAAUUACCAUUUAGGUGAAAAGGCCUAAAUCUCAUAAAAAGACAAAAAGACCCUGUAGAGCUUAACUUAUACGGCGUCUCAACAAAGUAAUUUACACCCAACCACGCCAAAAAGUUUUGUUGGGGCGACAGAGGACUACAUUAAACGUCCUUUCUUUUUCCCGACCCUCGUCUCUUAAUGACCCAAACUAUUGCUCAAAAAACAUAGCUACCUCAGGGAUAACAGACCAAAUCCCCCUCACAAGUUCAAAUUUACAGGGGGGUUUGGCACCUCGAUGUUGGCUUAGGGCUACCAAUUAAGUGCAGCAGCUUUAUUGGUCGGUUUGUUCAACCCUUAAACC